rnacentral:rRNA from 1 species
CGAACGGGUGAGUAACACGUGGGCAAUCUGCCCUUCACUCUGGGACAAGCCCUGGAAACGGGGUCUAAUACCGGAUACGAGGUUCACAAGCUUCUGGGAACUUGGAAAGCUCCGGCGGUGAAGGAUGAGCCCGCGGCCUAUCAGCUUGUUGGUGAGGUAAUGGCUCACCAAGGCGACGACGGGAAGCCGGCCUGAGAGGGCGACCGGCCACACUGGGACUGAGACACGGCCCAGACUCCUACAGGAGGCAGCAGUGGGGAAUAUUGCACAAUGGGCGAAAGCCUGAUGCAGCGACCCCGCGUGAGGGAUGACGGCCUUCGGGUUGUAAACCUCUUUCAGCAGGGAAGAAGCGAAAGUGACGGGACCUGCAGAACAAGCGCCGGCUAACUACGUGCCAGCAGCCGCGGUAAUACGUCUGGCGCAAGCGUUGUCCGGAAUUAUUGGGCGUAAAGAGCUCGUACGCGGCUUGUCACGUCGAUUGUGAAAGCCCGAGGCUUAACCUCGGGUCUGCAGUCGAUACGGGCUAGCUAGAGUGUGGUAGGGGAGAUCGGAAUUCCUGG